rnacentral:rRNA from 1 species
AGCAGCCGCGGUAAUUCCAGCUCCAAUAGCGUAUAUUAAAGUUGUUGCAGUUAAAAAGCUCGUAGUUGAAUUUCGGGAUCAAUAUGUCGGUCGUGCCUUCGGUACGUACUGGUAUCAUUGGUCUCUCCUUUCUGACGAACCAUGAUGUCAUUAAUUUGGUGUUAUGGGGAGUUAGGACUGUUACUUUGAAAAAUUAGAGUGUUUAAAGCAGGCUUUAGCUUGAAUACAUUAGCAUGGAAUAAUGAAAUAGGACGUUCGAACCUAUUUUGUUGGUUUCUAGGAUUCAACGUAAUGAUUAAUAGGGAUAGUUGGGGGCAUUAGUAUUCAAUUGUCAGAGGUGAAAUUCUUGGAUUUAUUGAAGACUAACUACUGCGAAAGCAUUUGCCAAGGAUGUUUUCAUUAAUCAAGAACGAAAGUUAGGGGAUCGAAGACGAUCAGAUACCGUCGUAGUCUUAACCAUAAACUAUGCCGACUAGGG